rnacentral:rRNA from 1 species
UGGGGAAUCUUGGACAAUGGGCGCAAGCCUGAUCCAGCCAUGCCGCGUGGAUGAUGAAGGCCUUAGGGUUGUAAAAUCCUUUCGUUGGGGACGAUAAUGACGGUACCCAAAGAAGAAGCUCCGGCUAACUUCGUGCCAGCAGCCGCGGUAAUACGAAGGGGGCUAGCGUUGUUCGGAUUUACUGGGCGUAAAGCGCGUGUAGGCGGAUUUGUAAGUUGGGGGUGAAAUCCCGAGGCUCAACCUCGGAACUGCCUCCAAAACUCAAGUCUGGACCUAAGUAGAGGCAAGUGGAAUUGCGAGUGUAGAGGUGAAAUUCGUAGAUAUUCGCAGGAACACCAGUGGCGAAGGCGACUUGCUGGACUUAUGGUGACGCUGAGACGCGAAAGCGUGGGGAGCAAACAGGAUUAGAUACCCUUGUAGUCCCUGAGCGGGCUGGCAAGGCGCAU